GAUGAACGCUAGCGGCAGGCUUAAUACAUGCAAGUCGAGGGGCAGCAUGGUGGUAGCAAUACCACUGAUGGCGACCGGCAAACGGGUGCGGAACACGUACGCAACUUACCCUUAACUGGGGGAGUAGCCCGGGGAAACCCGGAUUAAUACCUCGUAACAUAUUGUGGUGGCAUCACCAUAUUAUUAUAGCUUUAUUGUGGUUAAGGAUGGGCGUGCGGCUGAUUAGGUAGNGGCAGGGUAACGGCCUACCAAGCCUGCGAUCAGUAACUGGUGUGAGAGCACGACCAGUCACACGGGCACUGAGACACGGGCCCGACUCCUACGGGAGGCAGCAGUAAGGAAUAUUGGUCAAUGGACGCAAGUCUGAACCAGCCAUGCCGCGUGGAGGAUGAAGGCCCUCUGGGUUGUAAACUUC
rnacentral:rRNA from 1 species